CAAUAUAUGUAAUAUGACAUAAUAUAUAUAUAGACAUGAGACAUCGAUGAUUCAGUGAUCAAUUUACACCUAUUUUUGGACAGCCUGAAUGACAGGGCGUCCAACUUCAAGUGCCGUAUAUUUGGUAGGCAUGGUAGACACCGGGAAUCCGUAUGCUGCAUCACACCAACACUUGUAAGUUGGUCUGUUCUGAUUAAGCACAUAUAUCCUUCUUUUGUGCUGUCCUUAUGCAUUUGUCAAUGCUAAUUAAGUAUUAAGUAAUGUCUCAUCAACUCUCUCAUCAGUUUCAAUAUGACAUUUUUCUCCUUGAUUUGUCUGCAUGCAGCACUGGUGAUAGGUCCAUGCUGGUUCACUUGUGGUCACAUACUUUCGAUUCAUGGCAAUUCGAUAGUACGGCAACCUGCUGAAAGAGGUAGGAUGCCAGGGGAAAGGGGAAGAGGUGGCGGAGCAGUGAAACACAGAGGAUACUAUUUGUGCCGCUGCUGAAGGAUGCAACUAUCGACAUUACCUAUGCUUGCAAACAAAUCUGUGCAUAAAGACACUUCCCUAUAGCUGUCAAUGCGUAUUCUAAAUUAGUACGACAGAAAUGCUUUUUG
rnacentral:lncRNA from 1 species